AAUUGGGAUCUCUGUCUGAGGGAUUGAAAUUUGUGACAACAUUGCAGAACCUGGAAAUUCACAGCUGUCCAAAAUUCAAGGAAUUACUAGAAAUGAUGGAAAACCUCAUUUCGCUUGGAUCUCUGUCAAUCUUAGACUGCAAAAAUCUGAAGUCAUCGCCAGAGGGCUUCCAACGUCUCAGUGCACUGCAACAUUUGUCCAUGAGAGAUUGUCCUGAUCUCAAAAAUGGAUGUGAGAUGGGGAAAGGAGUUGAUUGGCAGAAAAUAUCUCACGCACCAUAUGUCUAUCUUGGAUAAUCAGCAUAUUGCUAGCAACUCUUUGGUUUCAUAGGUGCUUGCUGUUGCCAACCUGAAACAAGCUUCUGAUCGUUUGAUAUCAAACAACUCUUAAAUCAUUAACUAUCUUUCUUACUAUUGGAACAUAGUGGACUAUAGUUGGUAGACCAAGGAAGGAUGUUGAGUACUGGAAGCAGUUGGAGACUGCCCUCUGCAGCUUGCACCAGAAAGAUGAAAAUAUAUGGAUCAGGUAGGAGAUUUGUACUUCUGUUUGAUUGGAUGCUG
rnacentral:misc_RNA from 1 species